rnacentral:rRNA from 1 species
UACGUAGGGGGCAAGCGUUGUCCGGAUUCAUUGGGCGUAAAGAGCGUGUAGGCGGCCAGGUAGGUCGGUUGUGAAAACUGGAGGCUCAACCUUCAGAGGUCGACCGAAACCAUCUGGCUAGAGUCCGGGAGAGGAGACUGGAAUUCCUGGUGUAGCGGUGGAAUGCGCAGAUAUCAGGAGGAACACCGAUGGCGAAGGCAGCUCGCUGGGACGUUACUGACGCUGAGACGCGAAAGCGUGGGGAGCAAACAGG